GUAAUACUCUGAUACAUGUUGUUGAGUUUCUAAUAUUAAGACUGAUAUUAACAACCCACAUAAUUUGUUGACCACUUGUCGGAAAAUUGUGCUUUCAGAGAUCUUUUUAAUCACCAAGAUUUGUAUUCAGUGAAAGGCACAACUUCUAAAGACAUAGCUUUUGUAUCGUUGAACUCAGAGGUUGAGAUAUCAGAAUCCCAUAUGGCUGUUACUUCAUUAGGGACAUCUUCAAGCUCUUCAUUAUUUUCUUGGACAUGAUCGCUUCGCGAUGAUCGAAUCCCUUCUAAAUCCAUAGCAACUUCUUUCAUAGUAGGUCGUUUCUUUCCAUCUAAAUUUAAGCAUCUUUUUGCAAGAUUGGCAACUGCUGCAAUUUCUUCUUCUUCAUAACAAUGCUCCAUUAUACAGGCAUCAACCAUGUCAAAUAGUCUGUUCUCUUCAAUCAGGAGAUUGAAAUGUACGACUAAACUCACCAUUUCAGCUGAUUGUGAACUCGGACAAAAUAUCGGCUUUUUUCCACUUAAAAGCUCGACAAGAACGACUCCAAAGCUGUAAACAUCACUCUUCUCUGUAAAUUGAUUCGUUCGAUAAUACUCAGGAUCUAAGUAACCAAAAGUACCUUGAACACGAGUCGUCAAAUGAGUUUGAUCAAUGGAAAUAGAUCUCGAAGUUCCAAAAUCCGAUAUUUUUGCUCUGUAUUUCUCAUCCAAAAGUAUAUUCAUAGAUUUGAUAUCCCUGUGAUAAAUGGGAAUAGAAGCUGCAGAAUGCAAAUAAGCAAGCGCUCCAGCAACUUCGCUAGCAAUCUUCAAUCUCAUUUCCCAUGUAAAUGGAACAUCUUCAUUCUUGUCAUGAAGAUAAUUGUAAAGAGAUCCAUUUGGUAUGAACUCAUAGACUAACAAAGGAACUUCAGUUUCCAAACAGCAUCCUAACAGCUUAACCACAUUUCUGUGAUUAAUUUGGGAGAGAAUGAAAACUUCAUUAACAAAUUCUUGUAGUUUUUUCUCAUCUACUAAUUUUGACUUCUUCACUGCUAUAAUCCUUCCAUCUACAAGCAUUCCCUUAAAGACUGUGCCUUGACCACCUUGACCAAGUAUUCUAUUCUCAUUGAAACCGUCAGUAGCCUUUGCCAACUCUUUUGAACUAAAUAUUUUUGUACUUUGAAGGCUACCAUCACUUGAAGAUAACUGUUUUUGUAACAACAAACCACCAUUUCUUUUAAAGAAUUUUUUUCGGAAUUCAAUCUGACUGCAAAACCAGAAAAAGGGGAAACCAGAAAUGUAUGAAUUACUGUUGGAAAAUGUAUAAUAAUGCGAGCAAGUCACAAAAUUUUUUCCAUGACCAUCUAAAUUAUAUGCUUAUAAUAGACAGAAAAAGGGAACUUACUCAAAAUGAUAAUCCACUUGGGAUCCACCACACAUUUGUAUGAGCCAGGUGUAUUCUCACAUUUUGUCAUUCCCCAACACUGCCUAGAUUCUUUGCAUUCAUCAACAUCUAGCAUGACAAGGCCAAGAUCGAUGAGAAAAGAAUUUUUCUUUACAUUCUAAGCCAAGGGGAUUUAAACCUCCUGAUUAUACGCAAAAAAAAAAAAAAAAAAAUUACCUGUACAUCCAAGGUAAGCACUCCCCUCAUAGCCAACUUUGCAAGUACAUUGAACAUAUUUUGGACUGGAAUAUUUAUCUUUCCAUUCAGUACAAUACAUGGUGGUAGAGUUAUAUUCCCAGUCACGGGAAUCGAUAAUCCAAGAAAGCGUCAUGGGAACGUGCGAAAGUGGUUCUUUUACUUUUGGAAAAGGUUGUGCUGUUCCGUCUGUCAAAAAUGCCAACCUACACCCAUCUUGGCUUUGAUUACCAUUCUCAGCCUGUAAACUUGGAUUAAAAACCUGAAGGAAAGGAGGAAGGUAUAUCUGACAGCAAUAGUUAGAACCAUUACAAUUUUUUUCUAUCAGCCAUCUGUCUUUUUCUUCAGGCCAAUAGCUAGCCUGUACAACAAGUUCAGAGAACGUUUUCCGCCAAUCAAUAUCUUUCUGGCCGCCGGGGCAAUGAGAGUCGCAACCCACAAGUUGAGGCGUGUGAUCCGUCAUUAAAGCGCGUGUGUUGCAACCCAUUGCAGUAAAAACAUUGUUGUCGGAGAAAAAGAAAGGACUCCCUGUCAAAUCGAUAGUACUAUCCACCUCCGGUUCCAAUUGGGGUUCCAAGCCUGGACAAUUUAUUGACUUCACCGGACCUUUGACAUAAACAUUGUCCGGAAACAUUUCAAUGACCUCCAUAUCGAUGUUUGUUAUGAUAGCUUUUGGAGGAUUGGCAGAUCUGUUGCACCAAAUCUCAAAUCUUUGGUCCAUAUAACAAUCUUUGUUCAAUCCAAAUGGGUAUAUAAUGUCUAUAUUUCCACAUUUGAAAUCUUUGCAACUGAGUUUUGUGUAAGAUGAUUGUGCUUUUGCUAAUUGGAAGAUUGGCAUUAAUACUAAGAAACUGUACGUGAGAAUUGGACAGACUAAUUUCACGCCCAUUAUUCUUUCUCUGGUUUAUUGAAGAAAGCUGAUUCAACUCAUAUGAUCUUUAUAUGGCUAAAUAAUAUAAUUUAUACUAUAUUUGAAAAUUAAAAAAAUAAAAAAGAAGCGCGGAAUAGAUAACUUUCAGCAAAUUAAGAGUCUAAAGCAUUUCCUGAUUAUUUUAUUUAGCACGCCUACCGCCACUUUGUAAAAUUUAUUUAAUCCAAAUAGGGGUAAGCAUAAAUUAUGAAAUUCAUUCACUUUUCAGGACUUUCUAAUUUUAUACGUGUGAUAAUACGGCCAAUGCAGACACGUUAAGGCAAAAACAUUUCGUCAAUUAGAUUAUCUAAUAUAAUAUCAAAAUAAUAUAAAUAAUUAACUUUCCAAUUAUCAAUUAUUAAAAUUAAUUAAUUUAAUAUAAUGAGAAGAUGAAUAAAACUUAUAAGAAAGUUCUAAGAAACAUUUCAUCUUUUAAGAAAGUCAUGAAGAGGUGGCAAAGUUUGACCCAACCCACAAAUUCAUUUCAAAUUUCUGCAACUUGUCCAAGUUUGUAGUAGUUAAUACACUGGGAUCCACUCUUUCUCUGUUAUAGAUAUGUUUUUUUAAGAAAAAAAAAAUUACUGCCUCGUGUACAAAAAUUGUUGCCUCGUGUACAUUUUAUAUUCUAAACAUGUUUGUAUCAUGGGCUUGAGUUGAGCCCAAUUGUUUAAGCAAAAAAAUUAUUGCCGCGUGUACAAAAUUUAUUGCCUCGCUUUUAUAUUCGAUUAUUGGCUAGCCUAACGCGGAGAAUAUAAAUACAAAGACCAAAGUAAAAGUUAACCCAAGUCGAGUUCCGUAUCUCUAAACGGAGUAUUCGAGUUUAGGGGUGAAGAAAAACUGUAAUUAAUAUUUACUUCAUAAAGAUCAUUACCAAGAUAUCAAGAAAAACUGUAAUUAGGUUGGUAUGAAAGCAACAACUUUUUCUAGACGCUGUGAGAAAUCAAAAUUAAUAUUUUUUUUUUCAAAUAUUUCAAGUUAUUAAUAGUUUAUUUACUAAUCACAUAAAAAAUGGUAAACAAUGUAAUAUACAUUUAAACUUUAGAAUACAUUAGAGAGAUCUGUUAAUUCAAUCAAGGACGAUUUACUAUGUUAAAGGUUACCAUAUUGCACCCUUCGUAAAUAUUACAACUGAUGAAAGAAACUCAUCGCAGUUGAGACAUAAACAACCAUGAAACUGCCAUUUUUUCUCUUGUUUUUAUUUUUUGAGAAAGAAAGAAAUUGCUGUGAGCCAAAAAAGAAAAAUCAAUACAAAUGAAGAACAUCACUAAUAAGUAAUAUCAUAAACACUACGUAAUACUCUGAUACAUGUUGUUGAGUUUCUAAUAUUAAGUCUGAUAUUAUCAACCCACAUAAUUUUUUGACCACUUGUUGGAAAAUUGUGCUUUCAGGGAUCUUUUUAAUCAACAAGAUUUGUAAUCAAUGGAAGGCACAACUUCUAAAGACAUAGCUUUUGUAUCGUUGAACUCAGAGGUUGAGAUAUCAGAAUCCCAUAUGGCUGUUACUUCAUUAGGGACAUCUUCAAGCUUUUCAUUAUUUUCUUGGACAUGAUAGCUCCGUGAUGAUCGAAUACCUUCCAAUUCCAUAGCAACUUCUUUCAUAGUAGGUCGUUUCUUUCCAUCUAAAUUUAAGCAUACUUUUGCAACAUUGGCAACUGCUGCAAUUUCUUCUUCUUCAUAACAAUGCUCAUUUACAGGCAUCAACCAUGUCAAAUAAUCUGUUCUCUUCCAUCAGGAGAUUGAAAUGUACGACUAAACUCACCAUUUCAGCUGAUUGUGAACUCGGACAAAAUAUCGGCUUUUUUCCACUUAAAAGCUCGACAAGAACGACUCCAAAGCUGUAAACAUCACUCUUCUCUGUAAAUUGAUUCGUUCGAUAAUACUCAGGAUCUAAGUAACCAAAAGUACCUUGAACACGAGUCGUCAAAUGAGUUUGAUCAAUGGAAAUAGAUCUCGAAGUUCCAAAAUCCGAUAUUUUUGCUCUGUAUUUCUCAUCCAAAAGUAUAUUCAUAGAUUUGAUAUCCCUGUGAUAAAUGGGAAUAGAAGCUGCAGAAUGCAAAUAAGCAAGCGCUCCAGCAACUUCGCUAGCAAUCUUCAAUCUCAUUUCCCAUGUAAAUGGAACAUCUUCAUUCUUGUCAUGAAGAUAAUUGUAAAGAGAUCCAUUUGGUAUGAACUCAUAGACUAACAAAGUGUUAGGGCCCGGCCGACAUAUGGGACCCACAACACAAAGGAACUUCAGUUUCCAAACAGCAUCCUAACAGCUUAACGACAUUUCUGUGAUUAAUUUGGGAGAGAAUAAAAACUUCAUUAACAAAUUCUUGUAGUUUUUUCUCAUCUACUAAUUUUGACUUCUUCACUGCUAUAAUCCUUCCAUCUACAAGCAUUCCCUUAAAGACUGUGCCUUGACCACCUUGACCAAGUAUUCUAUUCUCAUUGAAACCGUCAGUAGCCUUUGCCAACUCUUUUGAACUAAAUAUUUUUGUACUUUGAAGGCUACCAUCACUUGAAGAUAACUGUUUUUGUAACAACAAACCAC
rnacentral:lncRNA from 1 species